CCCCCAUGACAUGGAGAAGAAAAAGAUUGAUUUUGAAAUAUUUGACUCGCGAGCUUUUAUUUUGAAAGACACCGCGGACUUCUCUCCGACACAGCCCCUCCCCUCAGGGAGUCAGACAGGCUGGCUGAGUGAAGCAGGAGUCAGAGCCGGGGCAGACACAGGUGUCAGAGACAGACGGUAGCAGCUCAGCGAGUCCCUCUCAUGGGCAAAAAAAGAAAGAAAGGAAUUAGACCAGAGGAAGUUCAGCAGGAAAUGAUGAAGAAGGUGAGACAGGCAGCGCCAGACCUGCUGAGGGUGAGACAGGCAGUGCCAGACCUGCUGAGGUGCAGUGUGGAUCUUCCUGGAAGCCCUUGCUGGAUCCGCUGUCCCUGUUGCUCUGCUGGUUCUGUUCACUACAAAUGGACCUGCAUGACUUAAAGUGCGACAUGGAGAGCAGAGUGAACAGAUCCUGGCAGCCGAUCUCAGGUCUGACUUAGCAGCAGAGUGUGAGUGAAACUGUGGGCGUGAAAGUCUUGGAAUAGCGCUAUGAUGGAGAAACAGUUUGUAGUGGAGGUGGUGUCGAGGUUAGUGGCUGUCGCUCAGAGAGCAGCACUGACGUGUGCUGCAGCUAGCCCACACACAAACACACAUCCUUCACUCAUAUGACAGUGCACCACCUCUCAUUAUGUCUCUUCAUGUUCCAAAGGGUCCAGAAAUCUGGACCUGUCCUCCACCAGUUGUCCUGAUGAGGGUUAGGAUUCAACAGCUCGGCUAAGGGUCCAGUAGGGUACAUAGGCCUAGCUAAGGGUCCAGUAGGGUUCAACAACCUAGCUGAGGGUCCAGUAGGGUACAAUAGCCCGGCUAAAGGUCCAGUAGGGUACAUAGGCCCAGCUAAGGGUCCAGUAGGGUUCAACGACUCGGCUGAGGGUCCAGUAGGGUUCAGUGGCCCGACUGAGGGUCUAGUAGUGUAUAACAACCCGGCUACAUCCCAAAGUUUCUUCCAAUUGAACCCACGUAGCUCAGGAGGUAGAGCAGGCAGUUCAGUCAUCGAAAGGUUGCAGGUUCCAUCCUGGCUCCCAACAGAGAAUGCUGCUGUUGUGUCCUUGGGCAAGACACUUAACCAUCUCGCCUGCUGGUGGUGGUCAAAGAGACCGGUGGCGCCUGUGUUGGGCAGACUCGCCUCUGUCAGUGUGUCCCAGGGCAGCUGUGGCUACAUCGUAGCUCAUCACCAGCGUGCAAUGGGUGAAUGACUGAUUAUGCUGUGAAGUGCGUUGAGGGGUUGUAGAACCGUAAGAACCCGCUAUACAAAUACAGACCAUUUAUCAUUUAACAUCAGUGCACUGAGUUCAGUUCAUUAAGCCAAUCAGUAACAAGUUUCCUAUAUAAGGAGCCCAGCAGGUCACAUCGAGUCACUGACUAGUGUCAGAGUCUUUACAGCAAUCCUCAUAAUAAGCAAGCAUGCAGCGACAGUGGAGAGGAAAUCUCCCUUUUAAAGCUACAACAGCAAAUCUACAAAACAAGCUAGCUUAAAGCCUUUCUUCAUGCCUCUUAACAGCCUUCUAACAUCUUUGUUACAUUUAUUCUGUCUUCUUUAGCUGAUUCCAUUUUAUUAGUCCGUCACUAACACACCUGGCAUGUUUCGGCUCUCACCGGCGCCUUCGUUAGAACUUUCACCGAUGUUGGUGGCAUCACUGCCAUCUCCAUUUUUCUGAGAGCAGUGGGUUGACAAUAUCGCCCUCUACUGCCCGCACCUUCUCUGUUGAUCACCAAGUCCCAUGAGUGGUCCAGCUUCAGCCCUGCUUAUGGUCCCGGGCCCACGUCUCCUCUUCAUCGCUUCUUUGAUCCUUCUUCUGUUGUUCUGUGUUUAUGAUGGUGUGCUGUCCCAGUAUAUGGUUUCUGUUCUAAACAGCUGAUUUCUUUAUUGUACUUUCUGCUUCUCGUUUCUCUGCUCUUGUGCAUCUUUGCCUUGUUUCUUUCUCACAUCUAUGUUCUAUUUGUCGUGUUGCGCUGGCGUCCGAUAUCUCCUAUGUAUGAUUUAUCGCAGAGUUUGCAUGGGAUUUAGUAAAUGACUUCACUCUUUUGCUCUGA